rnacentral:lncRNA from 1 species
CUUAGAUCUCAUGCUGCCUGACUUUAUGAACUUGAGCAAAGUGUGAGCCUUGAGUCAGAUGAGAGGUGUCUGAAUCAUGUUAUUUACAGCUUAUAAUGUACUCAGUAACUAUUUAUUGAGCUCAGUCUUUAUGUCAAUGUCACAUAGUAGACAAGACAGAUGAAAUUCCUGUCCUCAAAAAGUUUAGAUUCUAGUAUGGCAAAGGAUAAAUUAAGGACACCUAUACAGUGUGUGGGCUGGGGGUGUGGUUCAGUGGUAGAGCAUUUGCUUAGCAUAUGUAAAACCACCGUGGGUUCAGUCCUGGUAAAACACACAAAUCUCAGUGUAGGAUAUGGUGCAUUGGAUGGGCCUUUUAAUUCAGUGGAUAUAUCAAGGGAUCAUUGCAUAUCCAAGUCUGGAGUUAAGAAGAAAGGACUUUUGAUGUAAAAUGUGGGAAUCACUGACACGUGGAUGUAUUUAAAGACAUGAGAUACUGAGAUCACCAUGAUAGUAUUGAAGUAGAAACUAGCAAAGGACUGAGCCCAGAACACUCUGAUGGCUAAAGAUCAGAGAGAUGUGUCAGAUGUUGCUGACUGAGUAAUAAAAUGACUGAGAAUUGUUAUUUUUUAUCGUUAGGAUGUAGCAGCAGUGAAUUCUUUGAUGAUUUCUAUGAAUUCCUCUUAGGGCCCUGCAGGAUUUUUAA